rfam:Danio rerio chromosome 4, GRCz11 reference primary assembly.
GGUAGCGUGGCCGAGUGGUCUAAGGCGCUGGAUUAAGGCUCCAGUCGUUUCGGGGGCGUGGGUUCAAAUCCCAUCGCUGCCA